CGGUGAUGCCCUCUUGGGCGUUUCCUCCCUCGACUUGGCCUCGCCGGCUGGCCCGGCGGGGCCUUUUUCGAUUGUGA
rnacentral:sRNA from 1 species